rnacentral:rRNA from 1 species
GACGAACGCUGGCGGCGUGCUUAACACAUGCAAGUCGAACGGAAAGGCCCUGCUUUUGUGGGGUGCUCGAGUGGCGAAAGGGUGAGUAACACGUGAGUAACCUGCCCUUUACUUUGGGAUGACUUCAGUAAACUGGGGCUCAUACCGGAUAUGAGCUCCUUCUGCAUGGUGGGGGUUGUUAAGUUUCGGCGGUUGGGGAUGGACUCGCGGCUUAUCAGCUUGUUGGUGGGUUAGUGGCUUACCAAGGCUUUGACGGGUAGCCGGCCUGAGAGGGUGACCGGCCACAUUGGGACUGAGAUACGGCCAGGACUGCUACGGGAGGAAGCAGUGGGGAAUAGUGCAAGAUGGGCGGAAGCCUGAUGCAGGAACGCCGCGUGGGGGAUGACGGCCGUCGGGUUGUAAACCGCUUUCGCCUGUGACGAAGAGUGAGUGACGGUAAUGGGUAAAGAAGCAACGGCUAACUACGUG